UACAGAGGUCUCAAGCGUUGUUCGGAUUCAUUGGGCGUAAAGGGUGCGUAGGCGGCGUGGUAAGUCGGAUGUGAAAUCUCGGAGCUUAACUCCGAAACUGCAUUCGAUACUGCCGUGCUUGAGGACUGGAGAGGAGACUGGAAUUUACGGUGUAGCGGUGAAAUGCGUAGAUAUCGUAAGGAAGACCAGUGGCGAAGGCGGGUCUCUGGACAGUUCCUGACACUGAGGCACGAAGGCCAGGGGAGCAAACGGG
rnacentral:rRNA from 1 species